rnacentral:tRNA from 1 species
UCUUAGAUGACUGAGAAAAUAAGUAACAGAUUUUUAAUCUGUCCACAGCAAAUAUUGCUUCUAAGAG